rnacentral:snoRNA from 1 species
CACCCCUAGAUUCCUGACCCCUCAGAUCCAAAUACUGGUCUGGAUGGCUUAAAAAGGAGGAACAUUAAAAGAGAAUUUGACUUGGAGUCUCUAAUGAUAUACAAGUUCAUUUUUAAAAAUU